CCUGGGUGACAGACUGAGAGUCUGCCAGAAAAAAAAAAAAAAAGAAAGAAAAAGAAACCCCUGCAACUCCAGUUACCUCUCACCAUCUUCAAACACCUAAGUCCAAGUCCCCGUUCUCUCUCACCUGGACUAUUUACACUGAGGUAGUGAGAUGUCUUUUCUCCACCCUGUAGUUAGAGUAUUCUUAAUCAUUGACUCCUAGGCUCAAAAUUCUCCACUAAAGAAAAACAAUAACUACCUCCCAGUGGCUUCCCAUCUGACACUUGAAUUUCCUGAAUGAGAUCCUAAGUCUUUACCAUAGCUUAUAAGGCCUUACAUGGUCUACUCAGCUCUCCACGAAACCUUCCUUUAUCCUUCCCUGGCCCAUUGCCCACCACUUGAUGAUCAAUAGUACAAGUGUGUUUGGAAUGCAGGAGUUUUACACUUGCUUCUCCCUCUGCCCAGAACGCUCUUACUCAGCUGUCCGCAUGGCUUACUCCUUCACUUCCCAUGGGCGUCUGCUCAGAUCUCAUCUUCUCUGACCACCCCAUCUAAAACAGUGCAGAUGUACACACGCACCAUACCAGAUCCUCAAUCCCUGUUUCCUUCUCCCUUUUCAUAGCCUCUGCCUUGGUAUUUUUAUUUAGAGAUGGUGCCUUCCUUGCUUUUUGCUGCAUCCCUAACACCCAACACCGUAUCUCACACAGACUGCUAAAUUGAACAAGGUUGGUGUGGAUGGGAACUUCUGCUCCUCAGUGCCUCAGGGAUAGUGGAUGCAGUUAAGGCAGGUGGCUAGGGAAGCACAGAUAGUAAGGCAAGAGAGAGAAGAGUUUAUCACAGACAGUACGAUGUGGUUUCACCAGUGUAUCACCAGCCAGGACAUAACUUGGGGGAAAGGGAUUAAAGAACAUCCUGGUCUCAUUUAUUUGUGGUCAGUUGUGCCUACAGAUAAAUCGAAUAAACUCAUCAGCUGUGUCAACUGAGUGGCAUAUAGAACAGAAAGGUGCCUCAUCCUAAGCUUUUGAAAGGCUUUCUUCUACCUACUAAGUAUAUUAUUAAUAGCAAGUACAUUUUACUUUGUUUUUCAAUCUGGGAUCGAUAAAGCAGAUUCCUCCAAAAACGAUUGAGAGUCAUGGGCAUUCUGCAAGGUUCUGGGGUCU